UUGGUCAUUGGUAAAAUACUGACCAGCCGUUUGAGCUUGAGUAAGCAUUUGGCGCAUAAUCUCGGAAACCUGCUGUUGCUUGGAAAGAUUGGUGUUUUCCAUAAUAGACGCAACGCGAGCAGUAGACUCCUUCUGUUGAUAAGCAAGCAUCUCAUUUUGUGCAUAUACCUGGUCUUUCGUAUUCUGGCGU
rnacentral:rRNA from 1 species